AUUAGCCUUUUCGUGUUCACUGUGGAAGCCUUGGUCAUUAAAAAGUAUUAAGGCACGCGGUGAAUGCCAAGGGGAAGUCA
rnacentral:pre_miRNA from 1 species